GCUCAUUUGCCAAGCUCCAUCGAAAAUGUAUCAAAAUGGCUGCUAUGUCUCACAUCUCUGCAAUCAUUGACAAUCUCUGGUGCUGUACAAGUGGAUUUCUUACUGAAAAAUCUAAUAGUGCUUAAGAAUCUCAUCAAAAAGGACUGUGAAAGCUGCAUACUUUGAUUUUACAGUCGCUCACCUCGCUCAAAAGCUUGACUGUUGAAAACUGCCCAGACUCAGGGGAUUGUGUUGUUUUCUUAUCGCUGGAGGAGUUAUAUAUCGACAGGUGUCCCUCAAUGGUAUCUGGUGUCAGGAAGUGGUCAGCAAACAAGAUUACACACAUUGAGAAGAGAGCAAUAUUGUGACGAAGCAAGCAUGAUUCAGUAUGCCAAUCUUAUCUUCUUUGCAAAGUUGAUAAAUCCUCACUGGAGUUUGAGUGACCGUAAAAUGCAGGAAACACAGUAAUUCCUUGAUUCCGUUGAAGAUAAAAAUCAGGAUGAUCAGCAAUUAGUCGUGUAACAUCUUCAAGCUGAAACUCAAGUUGGGAAGGUGUUGGAUGGAUGUUAAAUCCGAGAUUUAUUCUUCCAACAAUGGAUACUUGACUGAAUGUCCCAGCUCUUUCCAUUGUCUACUCAAUAUCGUACAACACACAAGCUAUUCAUUUCUUUUAUCUUGUAAUCAUCCUUAGAGGGGGUGUUGCAAGAAUGUGCAAGAAAGCUUGAAAUGAAUCAGCUGAACAAUUACGUACAUGUAAAGUAAUCCUUAGAAGCUGGAUUCAUGAUAAUGUAUUCUUUGUUGAUUGUCCUACCUCUGAUUCAUUCCAUCAGCAAGACAACAACUAAUUCUGGAGGUGAUUAUGUAGGAUUUUGCUGCAUAUGCUGCAUGAAGAUUUUGCAAUUGACUCGCAUUGUUCCCCAUCAUGUAGUUGUUUGUGUUUGUAAGCUUUACCAUCUGUAUCUUAGCAUUGAAUUCUGCUGUAUAUAGAGAAUUGACUUAGAUUGAA